UACGUAGGGGGCAAGCGUUGUCCGGAUUUAUUGGGCGUAAAGAGCGUGUAGGCGGCCAGACAGGUCAGCUGUGAAAACUCGAGGCUCAACCUCGAGACGUCGGUUGAAACCGUCUGGCUAGAGUCCGGAAGAGGGAGAGUGGAAUUCCCGGUGUAGCGGUGAAAUGCGCAGAUAUCGGGAAGAACACCCGUGGCGAAGGCGGC
rnacentral:rRNA from 1 species